rnacentral:rRNA from 1 species
UACGAAGGGUGCAAACGUUGCUCGGAAUCAUUGGGCGUAAAGCGCACGUAGGCGGCUUCAAAAGUCGGAUGUGAAAUCCCGUGGCUCAACCAUGGACGUGCAUUCGAAACUGCGAAGCUUGAGUAUGGAAGAGGGUCGCGGAAUUCCCGGUGUAGAGGUGAAAUUCGUAGAUAUCGGGAGGAACACCAGUGGCGAAGGCGGCGAUCUGGGUCGAUACUGACGCUGAGGUGCGAAAGCGUGGGGAGCAAACAGG